GAUGAACGCUGGCGGCGUGCCUAAUACAUGCAAGUCGAGCGAACAGAUGAGGAGCUUGCUCCUCUGACGUUAGCGGCGGACGGGUGAGUAACACGUGGAUAACCUACCUAUAAGACUGGGAUAACUUCGGGAAACCGGAGCUAAUACCGGAUAAUAUAUUGAACCGCAUGGUUCAAUAGUGAAAGACGGUUUUGCUGUCACUUAUAGAUGGAUCCGCGCCGCAUUAGCUAGUUGGUAAGGUAACGGCUUACCAAGGCAACGAUGCGUAGCCGACCUGAGAGAGGGGUCGGCCACACUGGAACUGAGACACGGUCCAGACUCCUACGAGAGGCAGCAGUAGGGAAUCUUCCGCAAUAGGCGAAAGCCUGACGGAGCAACGCCACGUGAGUGAUAAAGAUCUUCGGAUCGUAAAGCUCUGUUAUUGGGGAAGAACAAAUGUGUAAGUAACUAUGCACGUCUUGACGGUACCUAAUCAGAAAGCCACGGCUAACUACGUG
rnacentral:rRNA from 1 species